CGGCACGCUGCGGGUGUCGGCGCCGGCGUCGUUUGCGGUGACGCUGCUGGCGCCGCUGCUGGGCGCGUUCCAGGCGCGCUAUCCCGCC
rnacentral:tRNA from 1 species